UGCAAAGUCCUCCUUUGACCUAAUGUUCUCUGCCCCUCUUUACCAUUCACACUUACUUUUCUCCUCAGCUCACUUGGCCCGCCACCAACGGAAGCCGCCUCUGCCGAAGGCCAAAACUGACCAGAAAAAUCAACGGUUUCCUCUCUGGGUUCAGUUACUCUAAGAAAAAAGAUGUUGAAAUGCUGCUGGCAGUUCGGCUUAGACAGAAUAUGAAAGUUGUAUGCUAUUCAUGUUGAAUUAUGGACCACAUGUUUUUUUUUUUUUUUUUUUGUUGGUAGGAGACUAUAAAUGAACUCCCUUAUUUCUGUAUUUUGAAUUUCGCUACAAGUCAUAACUAUUUUGGUACAACAUUUAUAAUAGACCACUUAUUGUGAUU